GUGGGGAAUCUUCCGCAAUGGACGAAAGUCUGACGGAGCGACGCCGCGUGAGUGAAGAAGGCCUUCGGGUCGUAAAGCUCUGUCAUCAGGGACGAACGGCCGGUGGAGUGGAAAGCCACCGGAUUGACGGUACCUGAGAAGGAAGCCACGGCUAACUACGUGCCAGCAGCCGCGGUAAUACGUAGGUGGCAAGCGUUGUCCGGAAUUAUUGGGCGUAAAGCGCGCGCAGGUGGGAUCUUAAGUCCAUUUUUAAAGUUCGGAGCUCAACUCCGUGAUGGGAUGGAAACUGGGAUUCUUGAGUACCGGAGAGGAAAGCGGAAUUCCCCGUGUAGCGGUGAAAUGCGUAGAUGUGGGGAGGAACACCAGUGGCGAAGGCGGCUUUCUGGACGGUGUCUGACACUGAGGCGCGAAAGCCAGGGGAGCGAACGGGAUUAGAAACCCUAGUAGUCC
rnacentral:rRNA from 1 species